GAAAAAAAAUAGUAGACAGAUGAAAGAUAAUCCAGGAAAAAAAGUUUUUGUCCGUUACAUCAAAUGAUUUUUUCGGUACCAUAAAUCUUCAUACAAUUUAUGAAAGGGUUAGGGUUUUGUAUUUUUUUCAUGGCGAGAAAUAACAUUUGUAUAAUACAAAUUGUAAUAAAUUUAAAAUGAUCAGAAUAGCAAGUAACUUCUCACUGAAAUUAUUGUUUUGGAAUCUCUCACUUACUAAGCUAAGUCCAAAGUAUUGCUCUUGGAGUAAUAAUAUGUUCUUUGAAAUCUGCCAGACUUGCCAAUUUUUUUUAAAUUCUUUUAAUUAAAAAAAUGAAUGGAAAGCAUGUUGCAAAGCAAAGUAUCAGCCUCAAACAUAACUUGUAUUGUCAUAAUUUCUCUGAGUAUUUGAAGACAUCCUUAGGGGAAAAAGUGUGUGUAUGUACAUACAUCAAUACAUACAAAUGUAUAUAUCCACCAGUAAUAAUAAAGCAUUCAAUUUAUCUUCUUUGCAAAGAACCAAAAUAUCAUGAAAUUAUUUUAUGACAGUACCUAUGACAUGUUCUCAGCAUUCCAAAUAUGCUCACUUGCCAUUAAAUAUGAAAAUAGGGGAAGAGGGAUAUAUACCCAAAGUAUAAAUGAUAGUUUACAAAUUACAAUACAAUUACAAUUUGUGGACAAAAUAAAUUAGGCCAAAAUAUAUACCUGGGUUCACAUACAGUGUUAAGCCAAUUAACUUGAUUUACUAAGGAAUCCACAAAUGAUCGAGUACACAAAGUACACUAAGCCAUAAAGUAUGUGUUAUAGACUCAUGGAUUCACGCAACAUAAUAAAUCAAAUAAAUCUAUUAUUAGUUCAGCACAUGAACUAGGUCAAAGAAAAAUGCUUAUAUAGUUCUCCUGCUUAUCUUUUUCUGAGUUUUGAAAACUAUUCAAAAAAGAAAUAGAUACUGCUAAUGGUACAAUUAGAAUCACAUCAUGACUUCUUAAUACAGGAAAGUUCCAUCUCAGUUCAAGCACAAAACUCUUGCGCUUUUCUUGAAAUGUAAUACUAUGUUAUAAAAAUCAAACUAUACUGAACAAUACGAGACAAUCAAGGCAUUCCUCAGUUUCUUAGAUGAAAGGCAGAUUCUGUGACUAGAUUUUUACUGGUAACAAAUACUCUAGACUAUGGAAGGAUAUAAAAAUUGGUGUGUGCGCACAGAUAAGACAAUGACUCAGAUUACUAAUUCAUUCACCAUGCUAGGCUUACUAUGAAUCCAUCAGAGCAAAAGGACUCAUUCUUGUUGAGUCAAAAACAAAUACACAAAUCACAUUACAUUGUCUGGACCAGCAUCGUACCUAGACUGAAUUCUUUAUCCAAACAAUAGUCGUCAUCAUGCACUAUAAACACCUCAAAUUCUGCAGUUUGUGUCUUCCUUUCAUAUCUUUAUAGUGUGUUUGAGUAUGUGUACUAUAUUUGCAGUUUCCAUAUACACAUACAAAUCUAAUUAACUUCCUUUCUUACAUAAAAAUUUACUGAACUAUGAAGAUCAAUAUGAUCACAAUAUCAAUGUGCAUACAGAAGAGGUAAAUACAAGGCAGGAAGUUUGUUUAUACAAGGAGCCAACUAAAAAAUCAUAUAGAAUGAUCUGUGUAAUUGUACAGAACAUCUGAAUCACAUGGUGACAGAAGAUGCCUUUUUGCAGUUCCAUGUAAAAAGAACAUACAACAUACAGUUAGUGUAAUCUUCCUGAACAAGAUGCCCAGAUCAUGGACUACAACUUAUAUUAUGCCAGCAAAGAAGGGAGUGCUCGGUAAGAUAAUUUAAUAAUCUGAAAAAGAUCUGAGUUAAGAGAUGUUUAGUUACAAGAUUAGUAUAUACAAAGGAAAAAAAAUCAUAUUAUUACAAUUUAUGAAUUUAUGUCAACUUUCUCUAUUAAUUCUGCCUGUCACAAACUGGUUGAGAAGCACCUCUAUGGUGAUCAUGUGACUGCAGGAUUCUGCAAUGCUAGUUAUUGUGAAGAUUGACCACAAAGAUGUUUUUACUCUCAUCCUAAUUUCAGUUACUCCAUGAGGUAGUCAGUAAGCAAGGAUUACCUGCAUUAUAUUAUUUGUUAAUUGUUAGAAAGAAACAAUGAACUCCAAGAGUUUUUAGUCAAUGUGCAGAACAGUCUAUUUUCCCCCCACAGCAAUAAUGCACAUUAGUGGGAAACUCCACUGCAAGCAACUGAAUUCAGUUGUUCCCAAUUCACAAUUACAAGAUGGGCAGAUCCUAGAAGUAAAAACUAGAGGGACCCUGCCGACAUCAACCCAAAGUCCUUGGAAGUAAGGCAGCAUACAAGUUUAAUUAUCAACAAGUAAGAAAGUUUCUCUUGGGAAAGCAUGAGGGAAUUUCCACACAGCCACAGCUUCCCUCUUCUAACCCUGCAGAUAAUAAGUCCUUGGCUUUUACUGACGUUGAACUCCAGGAACUCACAACGAAUAUUCUCACAAGAACCUUGUGAGGUACCGUUAAGCUGAGGUGAGGCGGCGACCGACCCCAAAGCCCCUCAAUCCAUUCGACGGAUACAGAGCAGGCUCUGAAGCCCCGACAACCACACCUGCAACGCAAUAUACGUUGUGAGAAAUAGGUGGCGGAAAAAGAAAGCUCCUCAGCAGGAUCUCCUGGCGCCUGAGGGGCCACGGAGAGCACUUGGCUUAGGCAGGGCAGCCUUAUGGAGAGGUUAAAGGGGGCGUGCCCUGACGGGGGCGGCUCCCUAAGGCUCGGAAAGGGACCCUUCGCAUGAGUUCACAGAUUUCCUUACUGAUGAACUUGGAAGAUGUAUUGAAAAUGAAAGCACAGAUGGCUGAAAAAUAACAUACACAGGAAUGCCAAAGAACACAAGAAGGAACAAAAGCUUGUGACCCAGAGAAGCAAAGGAGGAAGUGCCAGUAGUAGGUCAGCACCACCUUACUAACCUCAGCUUCAUGGAACAGGAUGGAAGAUACUCAGGCCCUGAUAGGUCAAAGAAUGCAGGAUCCACUUUGAAGAAGAAGAGGUGCAUUCUGGUAAUGUGUAAAUUCCAAAAUGUGAAAAACUAAGGAUAGAACAUGCAGAUUUUGAUACGAUGUCAGAGAAUAUGUAUUAUUUUCCAGGUCUGUUCAAUGGGCUGCCAAAACUCUUCAAGUUUAUAAAUAACAGUUGUGCCAUCUAUUCAGGUGAAAAUGGAUAAAAAUGCCAGAAAAGACCUCAAAAGAUUUCUCCAGAGACAAACAAUGGAAGAAAGGAAAACAAUGUAGGAAAUUGAAAAAAUGGGAAAUGCAAGUAGUGUACUUGAAAGCUCUUUCACAAAAAGAAAACGGGAUCCUGGGAAUCAAAAAUCCUGUAUUUAAUUUUCUACAUCAAUUUUAAUUUAAUGUACUACUAUUGUUAAACUGCAUGGAGAUAUUGAUUUCAGACUUUGCCCCUUUACCAUCCCACAUUUAACAAGUUAUUUCCACAGAAAAGAUUAGAUACUGCACAGCAAGACAG